AGUGGAUGGGGAGCAACCUAGUUGUGCGUGUGUAAAGGUAGUGCCAAGAAAAGCGAUGAUCAUGUUGAAAAUCAAUUCCCGGUACCCGAAACCGACACAGGUGGGCAAGUAGAGAAUACUAAGGGGCGCGAGGUAACUCUCUCCAAGGAACUCGGCAAAAUGACCCCGUAACUUAGGGAGAAGGGGUGCCACCGAGAGGUGGUCGCAGUGAAGAGGCCCAGGCGACUGUUUAGCAAAAACAUAGGUCUCUGCAAACUCGAAAGAGGAGGUAUAGGGGCUGACGCCUGCCCAGUGCCGGAAGGUUAAAGAAGUUGGUCAGUUUUAGGAUGAAGCUAGCGACUGAAGCCCCGGUGAACGGCGGCCGUAACUAUAAUGGUCCUAAGGUAGCGAAAUUCCUUGUCGGGUAAGUUCCGACCCGCACGAAAGGCGUAACGAUCUGGGCGCUGUCUCGGAGAGAGGCUCGGCGAAAUAGGAUUGUCUGUGAAGAUGCGGACUACCUGCAUUUGGACAGAAAGACCCUAUGAAGCUUUACUAUAGCUUGGAAUUGUGUUCGGGCUUCCUGUGCGCAGGAUAGGUGGGAGGCGUAGAAGGUAUUCUUGUGGGGAUACUGGAGCCAACGGUGAGAUACCACUCUCAGGAGGCUAGAAUUCUAACUUAAUUAAGGACAGUUUCAGGUGGGUAGUUUGACUGGGGCGGUCGCCUCCAAAAAGGUAACGGAGGCGUACAAAGGUUCCCUCAGACUGGUUGGAAAUCAGUCGAAGAGUGCAAAGGCAGAAGGGAGCUUGACUGCGAGAAGUACAGUUCGAGCAGGGUGGAAACACGGUCUUAGUGAUCCGACGGUGCUGUGUGGAAGGGCCGUCGCUCAACGGAUAAAAGUUACUCUAGGAUAACAGGCUGAUCUCCCCCAAGAGUUCACAUCGACGGGGAGGUUUGGCACCUCGAUGUCGGCUCAUCGCAACCUGGGGCGGAAGUACGUCCCAAGGGUUGGGCUGUUCGCCCAUUAAAGCGGUACGUGAGCUGGGUUCAGAACGUCGUGAGACAGUUCGGUCCAUAUCCGAUGUAGGCGUGAGAAUAUUGAGAGGAGCCUUCCUUAGUACGAGAGGACCGGGAAGGACGCACCGCUGGUGUACCUGUUGUGAUGCCAAUUGUAAACGCAGGGUAGCCAAGUGCGGAGAGGAUAACCGCUGAAAGCAUCUAAGUGGGAAGCCCACCUCAAGAUGAGUAUUCUGGUGUAAGGUCACGGGAAGACGACCCGUAAAUAGGCACGAGGUGGAAGUGCAGAGAUGUAUGAAGCCGAAGUGUACUAAUAGACCGUCGGCUUGAC
rnacentral:rRNA from 1 species